rnacentral:rRNA from 1 species
UACGUAGGGGGCAAGCGUUGUCCGGAUUUAUUGGGCGUAAAGAGCGUGUAGGCGGCCAGGUAGGUCUGCUGUGAAAACUCGAGGCUUAACCUCGAGCUGUCGGCGGAAACCAUCUGGCUAGAGUCCGGAAGAGGAGAAUGGAAUUCCCGGUGUAGCGGUGAAAUGCGCAGAUAUCGGGAAGAACACCCGUGGCGAAGGCGGUUCUCUGGACCGACAUGACGCUGAGGAGCGAAAGCCAGGGGAGCAAACGGG